rnacentral:rRNA from 1 species
GAUGAACGCUGGCGGCGUGCCUAAUACAUGCAAGUCGAGCGAACGGACGAGAAGCUUGCUUCUCUGAUGUUAGCGGCGGACGGGUGAGUAACACGUGGAUAACCUACCUAUAAGACUGGGAUAACUUCGGGAAACCGGAGCUAAUACCGGAUAAUAUUUUGAACCGCAUGGUUCAAAAGUGAAAGACGGUCUUGCUGUCACUUAUAGAUGGAUACGCGCUGCAUUAGCUAGUUGGUAAGGUAACGGCUUACCAAGGCAACGAUGCAUAGCCGACCUGAGAGGGUGAUCGGCCACACUGGAACUGAGACACGGUCCAGACUCCUACGGGAGGCAGCAGUAGGGAAUCUUCCGCAAUGGGCGAAAGCCUGACGGAGCAACGCCGCGUGAGUGAUGAAGGUCUUCGGAUCGUAAAACUCUGUUAUUAGGGAAGAACAUAUGUGUAAGUAACUGUGCACAUCUUGACGGUACCUAAUCAGAAAGCCACGGCUAACUACGCG